rnacentral:rRNA from 1 species
AGAGUUUGAUCAUGGCUCAGAUUGAACGCUGGCGGCAGGCCUAACACAUGCAAGUCGAGCGGUAGCACAGAGAGCUUGCUCUCGGGUGACGAGCGGCGGACGGGUGAGUAAUGUCUGGGAAACUGCCUGAUGGACCCCGAUAACUACUGGAAACGGUAGCUAAUACCGCAUAAUGUCGCAAGACCAAAGAGGGGGACCUUCGGGCCUCUUGCCAUCAGAUGUGCCCAGAUGGGAUUAGCUAGUAGGUGGGGUAAUGGCUCACCUAGGCGACGAUCCCUAGCUGGUCUGAGAGGAUGACCAGCCACACUGGAACUGAGACACGGUCCAGACUCCUACGGGAGGCAGCAGUGGGGAAUAUUGCACAAUGGGCGCAAGCCUGAUGCAGCCAUGCCGCGUGUAUGAAGAAGGCCUUCGGGUUGUAAAGUACUUUCAGCGAGGAGGAAGGCAUUGUGGUUAAUAACCACAGUGACCGACGUUACUCGCAGAAGAAGCACCGGCUAACUCCGUGCCAGCAGCCGCGGUAAUACGGAGGGUGCAAGCGUUAAUCGGAAUUACUGGGCGUAAAGCGCACGCAGGCGGUCUGUCAAGUCGGAUGUGUUUUCCCCGGGCUCAACCUGGGAACUGCAUUCGAAACUGGCAGGCUAGAGUCUUGUAGAGGGGGGUAGAAUUCCACCAGUAGCGGUGAAAUGCGUAGAGAUCUGGAGGAAUACCCGUGGCGAAGGCGGCCCCCUGGACAAAGACUGACGCUCAGGUGCGAAAGCGUGGGGAGCUUUCAGGAUUAGAUACCCUGGUAGUCCACGCCGUAAACGAUGUCGACUUGGAGGUUGUUCCCUUGAGGAGUGGCUUCCGGAGCUAACGCGUUAAGUCGACCGCCUGGGGAGUACGGCCGCAAGGUUAAAACUCAAAUGAAUUGACGGGGGCCCGCACAAGCGGUGCAUGUGGUUUAAUUCGAUGCAACGCGAAGAACCUUACCUACUCUUGACAUCCAGAGAACUUAGCAGAGAUGCUUUGGUGCCUUCGGGAACUCUGAGACAGCUGCAUGGCUGUCGUCAGCUCGUGUUGUGAAAUGUUGGGUUAAGUCCCGCAACGAGCGCAACCCUUAUCCUUUGUUGCCAGCGGUUCGGCCGGGAACUCAAAGGAGACUGCCAGUGAUAAACUGGAGGAAGGUGGGGAUGACGUCAAGUCAUCAUGGCCCUUACGAGUAGGGCUACACACGUGCUACAAUGGCAUAUACAAAGAGAAGCGACCUCGCGAGAGCAAGCGGACCUCACAAAGUAUGUCGUAGUCCGGAUCGGAGUCUGCAACUCGACUCCGUGAAGUCGGAAUCGCUAGUAAUCGUAGAUCAGAAUGCUACGGUGAAUACGUUCCCGGGCCUUGUACACACCGCCCGUCACACCAUGGGAGUGGGUUGCAAAAGAAGUAGGUAGCUUAACCUUCGGGAGGGCGCUUACCACUUUGUGAUUCAUGACUGGGGUGAAGUCGUAACAAGGUAACCGUA